AAUAGAUACCCGGGUAGGUCUUAGCUGUAAACGAUGAGCACUUGAUUGGAGGGUCCUCCAUAGCCUUCCAGUCGUAGCGAAAGUGUUAAGUGCUCCGCCGUGGGGGAGUAUGGUCGCAAGGCUGAAACUCAAAGAAAUUGACGGGGGGCUCACACAAGCGGUGGAGGAUGUGGCUUAAUUCGAGGCUACGCGAAGAACCUUAUCCUAGUCUUGACAUGCACGGAUUAACUCGGUUGAAAGCCGAGCCAGGCCUUCGGGUACAACGUGCACAGGUGCUGCAUGGCUGUCGUCAGCUCGUGUCGUGAGAUGUCGCGUUAGGUCGCUUAACGAGCGAACCCUUGUCUCUAGUUGCCAGCGGGUAACGGCCGGGGACUCUAGAGAGACCGGCCGGCGUAAGCCGGAGGAAGGUGGGGAGUGACGUCAGUCCUCAGUGGUCCCUUAUAGUACGUAGGGCUGCGACACGUCCUACAAUGGAGCGUACGAAAGGGA
rnacentral:rRNA from 1 species